AUUGAACGCUGGCGGCAGGCCUAACACAUGCAAGUCGAACGAGUGGCGGACGGGUGAGUAAUGUCUGGGAAACUGCCCGAUGGAGGGGGAUAACUACUGGAAACGGUAGCUAAUACCGCAUACCCUCGGAUGUGCCCAGAUGGGAUUAGCUUGUAGGUGAGGUAACGGCUCACCUAGGCGACGAUCCCUAGCUGGUCUGAGAGGAUUACCAGCCAAUCUGGAACUGAGACAGGGUCCAGACGCCGACGGGAGGCGGCAUGGGGGAAUAUUGCACAAUGGGCGCAAGCCUGAGGCAGCCAUGCCGCGGGUAUGAAGAAGGCCUUCGGGUUGUAAAGUACUUUCAGCGGGGAGGCGUUACCCGAAGAAGAAGCACCGGCUAACUCCGUGCCAGCAGCCGCGGUAAUAC
rnacentral:rRNA from 1 species